UGGGAACUGGAGGAGGUCGCUAACCUACAGGAUGCAGGGAGUAUAUCAGUCGCGGUCCUCCUUUCCUCCUCCCAGUCUGAGUUCCCACUCCCAUGAAGAGUGAGCUAUGGGAAAUGAUACAUGCUUUCUCCCUCUAGAAUGGUGCUGUUUCCUGUCCUGUGAUUGUCUGCAAGCCUUAGUCCUUGAACUCUCUAAACAGUGUUCUACCCUACCUGGCCUUCGACAGUAUAGAAGACCAGCACUCAAAUACCUGAGGCAAUGGAAGAAAGCUGAAAAUGUAAAAAGUCUCCAAGGAAGGGUAAG